CAACCCUCAGCCCCCGUUCGCGGGGCGCUGGCGUUGGGGCCCGGCCGUCCUCGCGGCGGCCGUCCCCGAAACACAGUGGCGGUCUCCCGCAGACUCCCCUGCGUAGUAGCACUACCUCGCAGAAGGGACGAGCGGGCUGGCCACGCCGUAAAACACCCCACUUCUCCA
rnacentral:misc_RNA from 1 species